CUACGGGACGCUCCAGUGGGGAAUAUUGCACAAUGGGCGAAAGCCUGAUGCAGCAACGCCGCGUGAGGGACGACGGCCUUCGGGUUGUAAACCUCUUUUAGCAGGGAAGAAGCGAAAGUGACGGUACCUGCAGAAAAAGCACCGGCUAACUACGUGCCAGCAGCCGCGGUAAUACGUAGGGUGCAAGCGUUGUCCGGAAUUAUUGGGCGUAAAGAGCUCGUAGGCGGUUUGUCGCGUCUGCUGUGAAAAUCCGAGGCUCAACCUCGGACCUGCAGUGGGUACGGGCAAACUAGAGUGCGGUAGGGGAGAUUGGAAUUCCUGGUGUGGCGGUGGCAUGCGCAGAUAUCAGGAGGAACACCAAUGGCGAAGGCAGAUCUCUGGGCCGUAACUGACGCUGAGGAGCGAAAGCGUGGGGAGCGAACAGGAUUAGAUACCCGGGUAGUC
rnacentral:rRNA from 1 species